rnacentral:tRNA from 1 species
GUAGUCGUGGCUGAGUGGUUAAGGCGACAGGCUCGAAAUCAGUUGGAUAUUCCCGCGCAGGUUCAAAUCCUGCCAACUACG